rnacentral:rRNA from 1 species
CCUACGGGCGGCAGCAGUAGGGAAUCUUCCACAAUGGACGAAAGUCUGAUGGAGCAACGCCGCGUGGGUGAUGAAGGGUUUCGGCUCGUAAAACACUGAUGUAAGAGAAGAAUGACAUUGAGAGUAACUGUUCAGUGUGUGACGGUAUCUUACCAGAAAGGAACGGCUAAAUACGUGCCCGCAGCCGCGGUAAUACGUAUGUUCCAAACGUUAUCCGGAUUUAAUGGGCGUAAAGCGAGCGCAGACGGUUGAUGAAGUCCGAAGUGAAAACCUACUGCUCAACGGUGGGAGUGCUGAGGAAACUGGAUAACUUGAGUGCAGUAGAGGAGGGUGGAACUACAUGUGUAGCGGUGAAAUGCGCAGAUAUAUGGAAGAACGCCGGUGGCGAAGGCGGCUCUCUGGAGUGUACCUGACGUUGAGGCUCGAAAGUGUGGGUAGCAAACAGGAUUAGAUACCCGUGUAGUC